CCAUUUUGUAACUGGCUGCUGCUUCCUGGAUCUCCUCAUCCAGCUGGAAGAAUGUAACACUGACUCAGAGCUUGGAGGGGAAAUAGGAUGGUGCUGAGGAGAGAACAUAGUGUGUCUGGCUCUGACUCAAGCACUCAGCUGGUUGUGUGAGCUAAUGACAGAAGACUGGUCUUUCCUGUGUGUGACAACAGUGGAUUCCCUGCCUCUGAUGUAUUAUAUUUCACAUCUCAUCCCCAAAGAUUUCUUCAUCCAUCUGGUUUAAUUUUGGGAGAGGACAGCAGAAACUUGUAGAACAUGGAAGCAGAACUCUUUGUUUUGGCUGUUUUGAAGUGGAAUCAGCAAUACCCAUACAAUGCUGGCAUCCUACUGCUGACACAAGGACGAUGGUGAUAUGGAUUGGAAAGAAACUGCAUGUAUACACUAUUACUUCUGGCAUAUAUUGGCUUUUUAAGAGCACUCUCCUUUCAAGAGGAUCAAAGGCUUUCAUGUGCUUAUUUUGGGACAUAAAAUAAAAGAUAGCUGUGAAAAGACUGGCUGUUCCAUUGCAUCAGAAUUAGUGAAGAAUUCGCACCAGUUUCAAGAGUGCAGAGAAGAAAGAGAGAGCCACUCCUGCAGAUAAUUUAGCACCUGUAAAUAUACAUGGAAUGUAAUCACAAAAUGAAUAGCCCAAUGGACAAGUCUCUGCUUUGCUUGCUUAUUAAUACAAAACAAUUAAGUUUAAAACCCUGUUAAACUGCAAAAUUAAAUUUUCUAUUAAAUUCUGUACCCUAACAUUAACAUGUUUAUAUAAUGUCUAUCACUUUUCUGAAGCAAAAACUGAAAUGCUAUCCAGUGCAAGCUUGUAACAUGUACUGUAGUGUGUUUAGAAGAGCAGUUCAGAUGCAUAAAGCUACAGUAUCUAGAUAAAUAGUCACAUUAUUCCUAAUUGAGUCUUGUUUACCUUGACCAUUUUA